UACGUAGGGGGCAAGCGUUGUCCGGAUUUAUUGGGCGUAAAGAGCUCGUAGGCGGUUCCGUAAGUCGGGUGUGAAAAAUCUGGGCUCAACCCAGUGGAGCACCCGAUACUGCGGUGACUGGAGUCCGGUAGGGGAGUGUGGAAUUCCUGGUGUAGCGGUGAAAUGCGCAGAUAUCAGGAGGAACACCGAUGGCGAAGGCAGGUCUCUGGGCCACUACUGACGCUGAGAAGCGAAAGCGUGGGGAGCGAACAGG
rnacentral:rRNA from 1 species